rnacentral:misc_RNA from 1 species
GUGAAUCAUCGAAUUUUUGAACGCAAAUUGCGCCUUUUUCUGAAGGCAUGUCUGUUUGAGGGCACCAUUUAACACAUAAUGUGCAGCGCUUUUUGUUGCACACGAUGAUGAGCUUCCCAAGACUCUUAACUUCUUGCUGGCGCAUCAUGAACAGCGUGAAAGUUUUUUUCAGUUCGAGAGUAGUAAAAUCUAUGCUUCGCCUGUGAACAAACAUAAUCGCGCAAUGGGCGUGGCAAUUUCUUUUUAUCCCCGCCCCAAUGCCACUCUUUCUUACGAAAGAAUGUCUAAUCUUCAGGU